UACGUAGGGUGCGAGCGUUUAAUCGGAAUUACUGGGCGUAAAGCGUGCGCAGGCGGUUCGUUAAGUUCGUUGUGAAAGCCCCGGGCUCAACCUGGGAACUGCAAUGGAAACUGGCGGGCUUGAGUAUGGCAGAGGGGGGUGGAAUUCCGCGUGUAGCAGUGAAAUGCGUAGAGAUGCGGAGGAACACCGAUGGCGAAGGCAGCCCCCUGGGCCAAUACUGACGCUCAGGCACGAAAAGCGUGGGGAGCAAACAGG
rnacentral:rRNA from 1 species